rnacentral:rRNA from 1 species
UGGCGGACGGGUGAGUAAUGUCUGGGAAACUGCCUGAUGGAGGGGGAUAACUACUGGAAACGGUAGCUAAUACCGCAUAACGUCGCAAGACCAAAGAGGGGGACCUUCGGGCCUCUUGCCAUCGGAUGUGCCCAGAUGGGAUUAGCUAGUAGGUGGGGUAACGGCUCACCUAGGCGACGAUCCCUAGCUGGUCUGAGAGGAUGACCAGCCACACUGGAAUUGAGACACGGUCCAG